rnacentral:rRNA from 1 species
UACGAAGGGGGCUAGCGUUGUUCGGAAUUACUGGGCGUAAAGCGCACGUAGGCGGAUCGAUCAGUCAGGGGUGAAAUCCCAGGGCUCAACCCUGGAACUGCCUUUGAUACUGUCGAUCUGGAGUAUGGAGAGGUGAGUGGAAUUCCGAGUGUAGAGGUGAAAUUCGUAGAUAUUCGGAGGAACACCAGUGGCGAAGGCGGCUCACUGGCUCGGUACUGACGCUGAGGUGCGAAAGCGUGGGGAGCAAACAGG